rnacentral:sRNA from 1 species
AAAUUAUACUAACUUUAAAAAGAUAAAUUGUCUCCGCAGUGUACCGCGGAUUAAAAUCUAGUUAGAAAACAAAAGCGUUGUCAUUGAUUUUAUUCUAUUUUAAUUUA